GCUGGGGCUCAUCCUUGUUCCCAUUUCAUCCCUGUUCCAUUUCAGGGUUUCUUGGGAGACCCUGGACCAGCUGGGGACAAAGGAGAGAAGGGAGUGAAGGUGAGGGUGGCUGUCCCUGCCCCUCAGAGCCCUGCCAGGGUGGGCAGGGGUCUCCCCUUCCCAGCCCCAGGUCCUGCUCUCCUCCAUCACUCAGGCUGCUCUUGGCUUUUCCAGGGGCUGAAGGGAGAGAAUGGGCUGCCAGGUCCUGCAGGGCUCCAGGGGCUGGUGGGGCUGAAGGGUGCCAUGGGCUUCCAGGGCCCUGCAGGGCCGGAGGGAGAAGGUGGCUCAGUGGGUGCCCCGGGCCCUGCUGGUCCCAUGGGCGAGCCCGGCCAGCCGGGACCUGUGGGGUACCAAGGCAUCAACGGCUCUCAGGUGGGUGUGCCCGCUGCCCACCCUCUGUUCUUUGGGAUUUUGGGGUCACUGCUCUCACCCCAGCCUUGCUCUGCCCUGCUCUGCUCUCUCUGCAGGGGGAAUUGGGCCCUCCUGGGAUGGCCGGGCCCCGCGGCCCCAAGGUAGGGGAUCCCUGGGAUGGGGUGUCCUGGGCUGGGGUGUCCUGGGGUGGGGUGGGUGUCCUGA
rnacentral:lncRNA from 1 species